rnacentral:rRNA from 1 species
UACGGAGGGGGCAAGCGUUAUUCGGAAUUACUGGGCGUAAAGGGCGCGUAGGCGGCCUGCUAAGUCGAACGUGAAAUCCCCGGGCUCAACCCGGGAACUGCGUCCGAUACUGGCAGGCUUGAAUCCGGGAGAGGGAUGCGGAAUUCCAGGUGUAGCGGUGAAAUGCGUAGAUAUCUGGAGGAACACCGGUGGCGAAGGCGGGUCUCUGGGCCGAUACUGACGCUGAGGAGCGAAAGCGUGGGGAGCGAACAGG